CGGCGGCCAUUUGCUUUUGUGGCGCAGAGCGGGACAGCGGCAGUGUUCGGGUGAGCGGCUUCAGAGGGACAGCACUGGAUGCUGCCAGAGCUGGUGAAUUUCUCCAGUACUUUGUUUUUUUUCUAGUGAAGUUUGGCUUCUCUCCCACCGGGUGUAAUUUCCUUUGGCGAUAAAGAUCAAAACUGCACGGACUUUCAGGUGACCGUCACAAUGGUGGAAGCAGAUCGUCCUGGAAAACUCUUCAUUGGCGGUCUGAAUACCGAAACAAAUGAAAAGGCGCUUGAAGCAGUAUUUGGCAAAUAUGGAAGAAUAGUAGAAGUUCUGCUGAUGAAAGAUCGUGAAACAAAUAAGUCAAGAGGUUUUGCUUUUGUUACUUUUGAAAGUCCAGGAGAUGCAAGAGAUGCAGCCAGGGAUAUGAAUGGAAAGUCUUUGGAUGGAAAACCCAUUAAAGUAGAGCAAGCUACUAAACCAGCAUUUGAAAAUAGUGGACGACGUGGACCACCCCCACCCCCAAGAAGCCGUGGUCCUCCUAGGGGGAUUCGAGGUGGAAGAGGAGGUAGUGGAGGAAUGAGAGGUCCACCUCAAAAAGGUGAGCACGGUGAAUGGAUUCAGGAGAUAGAACAGUGCUACCUUAAGAGGAAUGUACAUUUCUUUAGGAGUCCUGACCCACGAGAUGAUAUGGGAGCAUACUCUGUCUCCUCCAGAGGACCACCACUGAAAAGGGGUCCCCCAGGGCGUGCAAAUGGACCACCACCUAAAAGGCCCCUUCCUUCAGGACCAAUGCGGAGUGGAGGAAUGGGCGGAAGAGGAAGUGGGUCAAGAGGACCUCCCUCACGUGAAAGGGACAGUUAUGGUUCACCACCUUCUCGUAGAGAGAUGAUGCCCUCCAGAAGGGAUGAUUAUAUGCCAAGAGAUGAUUAUUACAAUAGCAGAGACAGUUAUUCUAGCAGAGAUUAUCCAAGUUCUAGAGAUUCAAGAGAUUAUGGUCCACCGCCAAGGGACUCCUACAGUUCUCGAGAAUAUUCUCACUCCGGGCGCGAUGAUUAUGGCUCCCGAGGAUACAGUGAUCGUGAUGGAUAUGGUGGGCGUGAACCACGUGACUACUAUAAUGAUCGCCCAAGUGGUGGCUCCUACAGAGAAUCCUAUGAUGGCUAUGGGUGAGCGUAUAGAAUCAAAUUGCUUUUGGAAAUAAUGGAAUUCUAUGCAAGUUGGAGCUUGUACCUAAACCUACAGAGUGAAGAUAACUAACCAGAUCAAAGUAACAUCUGGAUUGGAAUAGCAUGGUUGUCAAAGAACAUCCAACAAACAACGGAGCAGUAUGGUGUAUGCAGCUGUGAAUUUUUGAAUAAAAUCAAAGCAUAAAUGCUCACUAAUUAUGAUGUGUAUAUUUUGUCAUACUAAAUUUUGUUACAGCAUCAAGUAGAUAUUAAAGAGCAAGUAAGUUGUUCUAACUGCUACCAUGAUGAAUGGAAGUACAAAUGCUUACAAACCUAGGCCUGCUGUGUAACCUGAAGUGAAUUUUUAUAAAGACAAGGGAGAAGAAACUCAAUUGGAAUAUUGAUGUCAGCAUGAACUGGUUGGAUAAAAUGGCCUGUUUCUAUCCUAUAAAUGAAGGGUUUUGACAUGCUGAGGCUGUUACCUUUAGCUGCAGAAUCUUUAAUAAUCUCUCAACAAGGGGUAAUUGGUUUAGCGGGCUUGUUGGUUUGCAGAGCAGUGUUUUGCCAACAGUGUGGGUUCAAUUCCCAUCACCAUCUGUUUGAAGUUACCAUGAAGGACUCUCCUCCUUAAUCUCUAUUCCUUUGCCUGAGGUCUGGUGGCCCUCAUGUUAAAUCACCAUCAGUUUCUUCUCUCUAAAAGACUAUGGUGACACACAAUAUCAAGAGUUACAUGAGAAAUUUUUUCUCCCCACCCCAUUCCUAUCCUAGAGGGUUGUUGUGCUCUGUGACUCUGUCCAGGCCUCUUGAUUUUUAAAACUGUUGGCUGUUUUAAUUGAAAUUGAAGUAAUUGAAUCUCUGCACCAUUGCCAGAAGGGUACUGGCUAAUUACUACCUUGGUCAGAUCUCAAAGAUGUCGGCGGAAUAGUCAAUGAACAAGCUGUGUACCAAUGCUCAGUUUGAGUGCCUGGACCAUUUGGCUCCAGCUGCUUUUUGCCUGAUAACAAAUGUGCAAAAAGGCUAACUUUAUGUUUCAGUUUUGCCUCAGCUGGAAUAUAGUUCCAUCCUACUUACCACCCAAGCACCUUCAUCUCUCCCACCUGAGGAGAUUUACCAGAUUGGUAGAUUUUUGUGAGGGUUCAAUUUGAAGGGGUGGGUUUGUUCUCUGGAAGGAAAGGAGAUUUGAUGUUAGAUGCUUACAGUUAACAAAGUAAAGAUGGUACAAUGGUAGAAAAUCCUUUUAAAUGAGAGCACUGCAAGGUGAAUUACUUCAAGUGAAAACUGAAAGAGAACCUGAAAAGCUUGCCAGACUACUGCAAUAUAAAUGAACGGAGCUGAUAGGUUGCUGUAUGGGAGAGCUAGCUUAAGGUUCUGUGGACUGAUUUUUAACCAGUGCUGUGACUUCAUGGAAGUCAAGCUAGGAGUACUGCAAUGAAAACCUAAAUUGUUCUAACAUGCACAAGGAACAUGUUACAGAAUCAUGAUACAUUUUUGAGGACAAACCGUCUGGUGGCUCAGCAAAAUGCACUGCAGUGAGUCUUAAACAGUCUACUGCAUAGAAAAUAAUCAAUACUUCUGUUUAACACACCAUCCUGAUAUGAGCUUGGUUUUUCAGGAGGGUCUUCUAGCAAGGCUCUAUCAUUAAAUAUGAACUGUUGUCCUGAAUAGUUCUUGAGUUCAAAGUCUAGAUCCAAAUCUGUUACCACUUCAUUGUGUAUUAGCUGUAGUUGCAUAUGAAAGUUGUCAAAAUUGACAGGAAUGGUAUUUAUUAAAAGUCUGUUUAAAAAGGUGCCUGACCCAAGUAAACAAAGUAAUUUCACUUGCAUAUCAAAUAAAUGUUAAUUGAAAGGGAAUUGAUAACUUAAGGUGGAGGUUAACUCUAAAUCUAAUCUCUUGGGAUACCUAAACAUGCCAUCUAUUUGGGUUGUAUUUCUGUUUACCAGGAUUGAGUGUAGGGUACUAGAAAAGCAGCCAGUCAGGCAGCAUCCGAGGAACAGGAGAAUUGACGUUUCUGGCAUUCCUGAUGAAGGGCUUUACCCCAAAACAUCUAUUCCCUUGCUCCUCGGAUACUGUGUGAUUGGCUAUGCUUUUCCAGGACCAUACACUCAACUCUGAUCUCCAGCAUCUUCAGUCCUAACUUCCUCCUCUUCUGUUUACCAUACUGCAUUUUAGUUUGUGGCAUAAUUUAAGUACUUUGCCUGUACAUUCUUAUGCAAAUAAAAUGUUGAGUAAAGGUGUGUCUUGACUUCAAUCUCAUUUGCAAUCAGUUUGUCUUAAAUAAUAAAUGUUGUCUUGAAGCCA